rnacentral:rRNA from 1 species
CCUACGGGUGGCAGCAGUGGGGAAUAUUGCACAAUGGGGGGAACCCUGAUGCAGCGACGCCGCGUGGGUGAAGAAGCGUUUCGGCGCGUAAAGCCCUAUCAGCAGGGAAGAAGAUGACGGUACCUGGCCAAGAAGCCCCGGCUAACUACGUGCCAGCAGCCGCGGUAAUACGUAGGGGGCAAGCGUUAUCCGGAUUUACUGGGUUUAAAGGGGGCGCAGACGGCAAUGCAAGCCAGGAGUGAAAGCCCGGGGCCUAACCCCGGGACUGCUCUUGGAACUGCAUGGCUGGAGUACAGGAGGGGCAGGCGGAAUUCCUAGUGUAGCGGUGAAAUGCGUAGAUAUUAGGAGGAACACCGGUGGCGAAGGCGGCCUGCUGGACUGUGACUGACGUUGAGGCCCGAAGGCGUGGGGAGCAAACAGGAUUAGAUACCCCAGUAGUC